AUCAGAGUUUACUGGAGAAAAGUGACUCAUUCACUCUAAUUAUUAACUAUUGAUGAACACAUACUGAGAUACAUAACUGAAUUCUGACAUUUGGAUAAUUGAGCAAAUAGUGGUGAUGGUUUAUACAUGUAUAGGACUAAGUAUACAUCAGUUCAAGAAUUUCAAUAACAAAGUAUAGGGUGAUAAAUAAUGCAAGACACCACAGCACUUUAGUUCUUGGUACACGGUUCACUGAAGACAGUUAGCCAAUGACCACCACAAUUGUUACUAAUCCUAACAACAUUACUCUCAGAGUAGCUCUCUCUGAAUAGUCUCUCCCCUUCUGCUCUUUUUGUUUCUCUCCACUCCCUCUGUCCCUCGCCGUCCUGUCUCCUUAAUCCAAUCACCUCACAUUCUCUACUCCCUUCAUUUGCAGUUGGUGGUAGAGUAAGGUGGCUGGGGACUGUGUGUGUGUGGAAACUACACAUCCUACUAUUGGAAAGAAAAAGAAAACAAAGACAGAGAGCGAGAGAGAGAAGCAGCUGGUAUCCAGUGACAGGUCCUAGGAAAGAUCAGCUAAUUCCGGCUUCUGACAUGGAGCCUACCACGGGGG
ensembl:lncRNA